rnacentral:rRNA from 1 species
AUUGAACGCUGGCGGAAUGCUUUACACAUGCAAGUCGAACGAUGAACCUUAGCUUGCUAAGGGGAUUAGUGGCGAACGGGUGAGUAAUGUAUCGGAACGUAUCCAAUAAUGGGGGAUAACUAGUCGAAAGAUUAGCUAAUACCGCAUACGUCCUACGGGAGAAAGCUAGGGACCUUCGGGCCUGGCGUUAAUGGAGCGGCCUAUAUCUGAUUAGCUAGUUGGUGGGGUAAAGGCUCACCAAGGCGACGAGCAGUAGCUGGUCUGAGAGGACGGACCGCCACACUGGAAGUGAGACACGGUCCAGACUCCUACGGGAGGCAGCAGUGGGGAAUGUUGGACAAUGGGCGAAAGCCUGAUCCAGCCAUUCCGCGUGAGUGAAGAAGGCCUUCGGGUUGUAAAGCUCUUUCGCAAGGGAAGAAAACUUAAGCUCUAACAUAGCUUGAGGUUGACGGUACCUUGAUAAGAAGCACCGGCUAACUACGUGCCAGCAGCCGCAGUAA